UCUAUACUGUGAAACUGCGAAUGGCUCAUUAAAUCAGUUAUCGUUUAUUUGAUAGUACCUUACUACUUGGAUAACCGUGGUAAUUCUAGAGCUAAUACAUGCUAAAAACCUCGACUUCGGAAGGGGUGUAUUUAUUAGAUAAAAAACCAAUGCCCUUCGGGGCUCCUUGGUGAUUCAUAAUAACUUAACGAAUCGCAUGGCCUUGUGCCGGCGAUGGUUCAUUCAAAUUUCUGCCCUAUCAACUUUCGAUGGUAGGAUAGUGGCCUACCAUGGUUUCAACGGGUAACGGGGAAUUAGGGUUCUAUUCCGGAGAGGGAGCCUGAGAAACGGCUACCACAUCCAAGGAAGGCAGCAGGCGCGCAAAUUACCCAAUCCCGACACGGGGAGGUAGUGACAAUAAAUACUGAUACAGGGCUCUUUUGGGUCUUGUAAUUGGAAUGAGUACAAUUUAAAUCCCUUAACGAGGAACAAUUGGAGGGCAAGUCUGGUGCCAGCAGCCGCGGUAAUUCCAGCUCCAAUAGCGUAUAUUAAAGUUGUUGCAGUUAAAAAGCUCGUAGUUGAACCUUGGGCCUGGCUGGCCGGUCCGCCUCACCGCGUGCACUGGUCCGGCCGGGCCUUUCCUUCUGGGGAGCCGCAUGCCCUUCACUGGGUGUGUCGGGGAACCAGGACUUUUACUUUGAAAAAAUUAGAGUGUUCAAAGCAGGCCUAUGCUCGAAUACAUUAGCAUGGAAUAAUAGAAUAGGACGUGUGGUUCUAUUUUGUUGGUUUCUAGGACCGCCGUAAUGAUUAAUAGGGAUAGUCGGGGGCAUCAGUAUUCAAUUGUCAGAGGUGAAAUUCUUGGAUUUAUUGAAGACUAACUACUGCGAAAGCAUUUGCCAAGGAUGUUUUCAUUAAUCAGUGAACGAAAGUUAGGGGAUCGAAGACGAUCAGAUACCGUCGUAGUCUUAACCAUAAACUAUGCCGACUAGGGAUCGGGCGAUGUUAUCUUUUUGACUCGCUCGGCACCUUACGAGAAAUCAAAGUCU
rnacentral:rRNA from 1 species